UACGUAGGGGGCAAGCGUUAUCCGGAUUUACUGGGUGUAAAGGGAGCGUAGGCGGCUUAGUAAGUCAGAAGUGAAAGCCCGCAGCUCAACUGCGGGACUGCUUUUGAAACUGCCAGGCUAGAGUGUCGGAGAGGUAAGUGGAAUUCCUAGUGUAGCGGUGAAAUGCGUAGAUAUUAGGAGGAACACCAGUGGCGAAGGCGGCUUACUGGACGAUGACUGACGCUGAGGCUCGAAAGCGUGGGGAGCAAACAGG
rnacentral:rRNA from 1 species